rnacentral:rRNA from 1 species
UGGGGAAUCUUGGACAAUGGGCGCAAGCCUGAUCCAGCCAUGCCGCGUGAGCGAUGAAGGCCUUAGGGUUGUAAAGCUCUUUCACCGGUGAAGAUAAUGACGGUAGCCGGAGAAGAAGCCCCGGCUAACUCCGUGCCAGCAGCCGCGGUGACACGUAGGCAUCAAGCGUUAUCCGGAUUUAUUGGGCGUAAAGAGCUCGUAGGCGGUUCGGUAAGUCGGGUGUGAAAACUCUGGGCUCAACCCAGAGAGGCCACUCGAUACUGCUGUGACUAGAGUGCGGUAGGGGAGCGGGGAAUUCCUGGUGUAGCGGUGAAAAUGCGCAGAUAUCAGGAGGAACACCAGUGGCGAAAGGCGCCGCUCUGGGCCGUAACUGACGCUGAGGAGCGAAAAGCAUGGGUAGCAAACAGGAUUAGAUACCCUGGUAGUCCAUGCCGU